UGGGGAAUUUUGGACAAUGGGGGAAACCCUGAUCCAGCCAUCCCGCGUGUGCGAUGAAGGCCUUCGGGUUGUAAAGCACUUUUGGCAGGAAAGAAACGUCAUGGGUUAAUACCCCGUGAAACUGACGGUACCUGCAGAAUAAGCACCGGCUAACUACGUGCCAGCAGCCGCGGUAAUACGUAGGGUGCAAGCGUUAAUCGGAAUUACUGGGCGUAAAGCGUGCGCAGGCGGUUCGGAAAGAAAGAUGUGAAAUCCCAGAGCUCAACUUUGGAACUGCAUUUUUAACUACCGGGCUAGAGUGUGUCAGAGGGAGGUGGAAUUCCGCGUGUCGCAGUGAAAUGCGUAGAUAUGCGGAGGAACACCGAUGGCGAAGGCAGCCUCCUGGGAUAACACUGACGCUCAUGCACGAAAGCGUGGGGAGCAAACAGG
rnacentral:rRNA from 1 species